rnacentral:rRNA from 1 species
AUAUCCUACGGGAGGCAGCAGUGGGGAAUAUUGCACAAUGGGCGCAAGCCUGAUGCAGCCAUGCCGCGUGUAUGAAGAAGGCCUUCGGGUUGUAAAGUACUUUCAGCGGGGAGGAAGGUGUUGUGGUUAAUAACCGCAGCAAUUGACGUUACCCGCAGAAGAAGCACCGGCUAACUCCGUGCCAGCAGCCGCGGUAAUAAU